rnacentral:rRNA from 1 species
AGGACGAACGCUGGCGGCGUGCUUAACACAUGCAAGUCGAGCGGAAAGGCCCUUCGGGGUACUCGAGCGGCGAACGGGUGAGUAACACGUGAGUAAUCUGCCCAUCGCUUCAGGAUAGCCAUCGGAAACGGUGAUUAAUACUGGAUAUGACAUUCCUUCGCAUGUUGGGGUGUGGAAAGUUUUUUCGGCGGUGGAUGUGCUCGCGGCCUAUCAGCUUGUUGGUGGGGUAAUGGCCUACCAAGGCUUUGACGGGUAGCCGGCCUGAGAGGGUGACCGGCCACACUGGGACUGAGACACGGCCCAGACUCCUACGGGAGCAGCAGUGGGAAUAUUGGACAAUGGGCGGAAGCCUGAUCCAGCAACGCCGCGUGAGGAUGACGGCCUUCGGGUUGUAAACCUCUUCAGCACAGUACGAAGUUUGUCUUUUUGGUGUAAGUGACGGUAUGUGCGAGAAGAAGGACCGCCGAACUACGU